ensembl:lincRNA
GUACUUGUCAACUUUGAGCUUCAUUGUGGGAUCAUGCUCAUGUGGGUCAUUUGUUUGCAGAGGUCUUACCGUCAGUAUCAUGAAGGCUUUUUCUUUUUCUCUCUUACUAUUUUGCUAGACUUCAUGAUUUUUUUUUUCCUUUUUGCUAAAAUUUCAGGAUCUACAUAGUAGCAUGCACUGCAGUAUCUUAUUAUAAUGCUGUGCCUUUGAAUAACUUUUUUUUGAGACAAGGUCUUGCUCUGUUGCUCAGGCAGGAGUGCAGUGGCACGGUCAUGGCUCACUGCAGCUUUGACUUUCCAAGCUCAAGCGAUCUUCCCACUUCAGCCUUCCCAGUAGCUGGGACCACAGGCAUGCCCCACCACGCCUGGCUAAUUUUAUUUUUUUUUUAAUUUUGUGAUACAACGUCUUUCUAUGUUUCCCAGGCUGGUGUCAAACUACUGGGCUCAAGUGAUCCUCUCACCUCAGCCUUCAAAAGUGCUGGAACUACAAAUGGGAGCCACCAGGCCAGGUCUUGAAUAACUUUUGUUGCUGAGUAAGACAUUUGGGAAUCUUGUUUCUUUUGUCUUUUACUGACCUUCUAUGCUACUUAACUAUACAAUGUGGCUUAUUACAUAGUGUCUCUUGGUAUUAUAUUCUUUCUCAAAAAGAUAUUUUUUUCCCAUUGCAAAUAAGACAAACAAUGAUGUCUUUAAAACAAAAGAAGUAUUUCCCAGUCUCCUUACUUUGAAACACAUGAUUUUCAUCAACUGCCUUUCUUUUCUUGGCAACAGCCUUUUGGAAAAUUGACAGACUCCACUCACACCAUCCCCAUCCAUUCGCCCACCAUCUGCCUUCCCUCCAAGCUUAAAGAGACGGAUAUCUACCUACAAGGCAAAUCCAAUCAACCAUUAUCCUCCAACUGCCAGACCCUGCUAGUGGCACAUCCAUCAGUACAUGAACCGCAUAUGUCACAGAGUGUAUCAAAGCUAAGGGAAAAUGAACUGGUUCUCUGGAUUUAUUCUAGUCAAACACAGAGCCAGGCUGAACAGGGCUUUUGCUGCUCCAUCUUUGAGUUCCUGGGCAGCUAUGUGGCUCCCUGA